AUCAUAUAUUGAUUGUGUCUAGUUGCAGUCAUAGGAAGAUCUGCUGGGUCAAGACAGGAAGACGAAGUUCAACGUGACUCUCUACUCUUUUUCCCAUUCUCAUUUUCCUCAACAGAUUUCAUCUGUUAAUAUUAACAUGGGGUGCCUGGUUAAUACUAAACAGGCCCACUUUUGCCCUUCCUAAGCUUCUUUAUUGAGGAACCACAGUACAUUAUCAAUAAUGAAGACACUUUACAGAGCAGUUGGUUGGACAAGGAUGCUGAAGCAGAGGACACAGAGCUGACCUCAGUUUUUCCUUCAUCGUGACCAGAGAGAUUUCUCUUCUUGGGUGAAGAAUCAAGAAGGAAGCAGAACGAGCUUGGUCUGCACAAGGAAGCUUAGGUCUACUCACAUUACAGGCAAGUGACGUCGUUCAAAGCCUGGUGUUUUAUCUACAAAAUCAGGUAGCUCGGCUAAAUCAGGGGUCUACCCAUAUUUCACCAUUUCUACUUCCCUCUCCCUGUCUGUUCUCUUUACCUCCUGACCUCU